AACGGGAGAACCUACAAGCAUAGAGGGUGUUGGAGUAGCCCUAGAUCCAAGUGAUCCUGCAAGGCUCUCUGUGAGAUUCAAUAAUACGGUACCUUUUGACCCCGAUGGAAAUUACCUAAUAGUUAAAACAGAUUAUGUCAACUUUGCUGUGGUGUAUUCUUGUGAUCAAAAAGGACCUUACAAGUCUGAAAGCGUCUUUAUCAUUCAAAGAAAACCAAGGAAUCCCAGAAAAAGAAGACUACGACAAAUAUAUAAUUUUCUGAAGUGCUAUGGCGUAAACCCAAAGAAUUUCAUACGAACAAACCUUCGACAAUGUCGAGCGUCUUCCGCCUACAAGCGCUUGAAACUACUUACAAUUUACUAAUAGACUCACAAUUAACUACUAAAAUUCUACCCUAAAUUUACUUUCAUACGCCUAUAUUACAAAACUUUUUUUUUUCAUUUCAUUUUGCAGUAAAUGUGCAUCAAUUUUGAUAAUUUUGAAACAAUAUCUCAGCUGCAACCUCUGUUUUAGGUAAUUUGCAAUUGAUGGAAUUUCCGGUUCCGGUUCUAGUGUUAAUGACUAUUCAUGAAGAGUAGGUUUGAUCUGUUUUAAAAAGAGUUGCACCUUAUUUGUAGAUGAGUAACUUGCCUUAUAUUUUCAA